UCUUACCCUGUUGGGCUAGAUCUGCGGUUCUCAAACUGUGGGUCGGGACCCUGUUUUAAUGAGGUCACCAGGCCUGGCAUUAGACUUGCUAGGGCCUGGUGCCAAAGCCCUAGCCCCAGUGCCCGGGGCCAAAGCUGAAGACCUAGGGCAUCAGCACUGUGUGGCGGGGCUCAGAUUACAGGACCCCUGCCUGGAGCUGAAGCUCUUGGGCUUUAGGCCCCCGCCUGGGGUGGCGGGGCUCGGGUGGGCUCAGUCCCCAUCCUGGGGUCGUGUUGUAAUUUUUGUUGUCAGAGGG